rnacentral:rRNA from 1 species
GGUGAGUAACACGUGGGCAAUCUGCCCUUCACUCUGGGACAAGCCCUGGAAACGGGGUCUAAUACCGGAUAACACUCCCUCUCUCAUGGGUGGGGGUUAAAAGCUCCGGCGGUGAAGGAUGAGCCCGCGGCCUAUCAGCUUGUUGGUGAGGUAACGGCUCACCAAGGCGACGACGGGUAGCCGGCCUGAGAGGGCGACCGGCCACACUGGGACUGAGACACGGCCCAGACUCCUACGGGAGGCAGCAGUGGGGAAUAUUGCACAAUGGGCGAAAGCCUGAUGCAGCGACGCCGCGUGAGGGAUGACGGCCUUCGGGUUGUAAACCUCUUUCAGCAGGGAAGAAGCGAAAGUGACGGUACCUGCAGAAGAAGCGCCGGCUAACUACGUGCCAGCAGCCGCGGUAAUACGUAGGGCGCAAGCGUUGUCCGGAAUUAUUGGGCGUAAAGAGCUCGUAGGCGGCUUGUCACGUCGGGUGUGAAAGCCCGGGGCUUAACCCCGGGUCUGCAUUCGAUACGGGCUAGCUAGAGUGCGGUAGGGGAGAUCGGAAUUCCUGGUGUAGCGGUGAAAUGCGCAGAUAUCAGGAGGAACACCGGUGGCGAAGGCGGAUCUCUGGGCCAUUACUGACGCUGAGGAGCGAAAGCGUGGGGAGCGAACAGGAUUAGAUACCCUGGUAGUCCACG